GACAUGCGGACACUGAGACACUAGGGACACUGAGAGACUUGGGGACAUUGGGAGACAUGGGGACACAAACGCUAGGGACACAGUGUUUCAGUGUCCCCAUGUCUCCCAGUGUCCCCAAGUCUCUUAGUGUCCCUAGUGUCUCAGUGUCCCUAGUGUC